UUGAAAGAGGACUAAUCCUUUAACAGUUAAUCCUGGGUAUUCAUAAAAUUCCGUUUCACACUGCACAUUCCUAAACCCCGGGUUAAAGACCUUAUUUGCAUAUUUGUUGUGUCCGUGUUACUGACUGGACAAACGCAGCACGUGAUCUGUUUAAAGGCUCUAGCGUUGCACGUCCUCAUUGCUGACGGUAAUAUCAAGUUUUUUUUUCUGAAUGAACUUCGAACUAUAAAGUGGCGGUAAAUGGACAAAAGAUGUACCAGUAACUCUCCAAAAAGGGUUUUGGUGCCUUUUUUUUGACUCUCAGCCUGAUCGCCGUCAUAAUGGUGAUAACAUUAACUGUUAAUUCACAUGCAUGUGGACCAACGGUGAAGGCUUGUGGAUCUUUCCCAUCACACUUAAAACGCAGCCGACCACCCUCUCCUCUCUCAAGUAGGCUUUUCACAGAGGCUUUAGGAAACUGUUUAAGGGGCAGCUUGAUGGAUGGAGCGCACACAUAUGCGCACACACGUACCUCCUCACACCUCAUCUGGCCGAAUGCAUUCCUCAUGCAAUUAGUCCUUCUGAAGUUGCUUAUUAGUUGGAUCUCUUCUUUGUGGAUAAGUCCUUUCACUGAACUGUCACAGCUCCUGGACAAGCCUCUCCAAUCCACAGCCAUUUACAAAUGAAUGGGGCACCAUGCAAACCAAACAGAGCACAUCCUUUUCCUGCUCUUUCACAUCUUUGGUGAAAAGGAGGGGGGAAAACUCAAUUUGUAUUUGCGCAGACCAUAAACAAACAUCGGUCAGAUCAAAUGAGGCAUUCAGAGCCUGAAGAAAGGUCAGAGAGAAAGGGGAGGGAGAGAUAGAGGAGGGAUUGAAGGAGGUACAGAAUGGAGCACUAGCAGUGCCAAUUCACAAGCUCAGGGCUUUUAUGAGGGUGUCAGUUCUGUUGUCAGACUGACGAUGUGGAGAAACAAGUCAAUGUGAGGGAGGAGGACAGCACACCUUCCACAGGUACAUGCAAUGUGACUAUAAACUAACCAACACCUUUAGUGACAGCCGAGGCCACAGCGAAAUCACCUUUCCCAUGAUACCAUGAGUGGCGGUGAUACUGGAAAGCUUUUUAUGACAGAGAGUUUCUUCAAAGAGAAGCCAAUAAAAGCCCUUCAGAUUA